GUGUGUGUGUGUGUGUGUGUGUGUGUGUGUGUGUGUGUGUGUCACAUGGGAACUGAAAGGGACCUGUGGUCCGCUUGUCCAGCCCUGUGCUACGGUAGCAGGGCAGUGCCAGCGGGGAGAGGAUUAUUAUUUGUUUUCCCAGGGAGCUCAAAGGCACCAUCUGCUUGCCAGGCUCUGCACCUGCAGGACUGCCUGGGCUGGCCCGGGAAGAACGCUGUUUUCUGUUCCACACAAAGGAACGCCAGAGGCUGCCCGGGGCUCUGUGCAGUGGGGGUCCUUGGGAGAUGAAAGAUGGAAAACGAGGGGAACAAAGUGACUUCAAACAUCACCUCAGCAAAAUUACAAGAGUAUUUCACAUCAUGGACCAUCGUUCUCAGACAGCCAACUCCUUAUUCGCUGACCCCUGCGAUACUGAUUCCGCCGUAUUCCUCAGCCCCUUUACCUGAGGAAUUAUUUCUCCUCAUCUUCACCCGAGCCCAGGGAAAAAGGCAGUAUUGUUAUCUCCUCCUCACCCCUCUGUCUAGAAAGGAGACUUAGAGAGGUUAUGUGGCCUCCCCCAGGGGCACGGCUGAUGCCGGCUGUGAUUGAACCGAAGUCCAACGAUUACAAAGACAACCUCAAAACGUUACCUUUAUCCCUCGACGGGGAGGGGAAGGCAACUCCCUAGAGCUGAAAGUUCUCAUCAGUGACUGUGCAAGCCCAGAGACCUGACAGGCAGAUUCCCCGCGCACUGACAUCUGGGAGGACUCCCACGAGAAGAUCGGGAGCACAAGGAGCAUUGUGGGUGGGAGCACACCCUGCAGACAGGGAACAGGGUGCCCCGGGCGGCCACUGCUCCUGACUCCUUUGCAAGUGCUCCUGCUGAGAUGAUGACCGUCACAGAAGCCAGCCCACGCCAGGAAUUAGAGUGCCUAGGGAGAGGCCCUCACCUUCAUGCUGACACCAAGGAUCUGCAGGCACCGGAUGGGAUCAGUCAGCACCCAGGUCACAAGCAGGAUUGCAUCAGCCACCACCAGGGCUGCUACCAAGCCCAGCAACUGCAGGUCUUUGAUAAUCUGCAAAAGAGUCCAGGUCAAAACGGCUCCUCGCUUGCUGGCUGUGUUUAACAUGGGUGCUGGAGUGUGCCCUGUUGCUCUGAGCACAGCACUCUGUGGGAGCCUCCAACGCAGCCAUCACCACCACCACCACCACUAACCCAAUUCAUGAUGAGGACUGCAAGACUAAAAACCUUCCCUAUUCUAUCAGAAAAGAGCUCUUUAUUCACAGGUGAUAUGACAUCAAUACAGAGAAUCUAACGGAGUCUAUUAAAAAGUUGCUAGAAAAUCUGCAUAUGCUAGAACAACUGUAAUCCAGCAUUUCGGAAGCAGAGACAGAAGGAACACCAGCCUCCAAGGCCAGCCUAGAAUACAUAAGUCAACCUGGAUUAUAUUGUGAGACCAUCUUAGAAGAUAAGGCUGCUAAAACUAUUAUCUAAUUUAGCAAGGUUGAAACGUACAAGAUCAGCACCAAAGCCCACCUAUCUGUCUGUAUCUGGGCAAAAAGCAAUGAAAAAAUAUAGUUUGCAAAACAAUAAAACAUGCAAUGUAUGACAAAGGGUAAUAAAUCUGAGAAAUAUGUGAAAGAUCUAUACUUGAGAAAUACACAAUAUUGCAAAGAUAAAUUAAUAAAAACCUGAAGAAGUGGAGAAAUGGACAAUAGCCAUGGGCUAAAAACCAACAUGGUUAAGUCAUCAAUUCUCAAUAGUUUGAUCUUAGAUUCAAUUACAUUUCCAGUCAUAAUCCCAACAUGACUUUGUGUAGAUUGGCAAACCAACUUAAAAACUUGUUUGAGAGCUAGUGAGAAAGCUCAGCAGGUCAACCCGCUUGCCAACAAGCCUGGUGGCCUGAGCUGAUCCUCAAGUCCCACACGGUGAAAGGAGAGGACCAUACAUAUGCUGUGUUCCCGUCUGCGCCAAGAGCCCGCCUCUCUGGGUAUCUUGUUUUCGCUCCCACUGUGCCAGUAUUGGCCAGCUCACAGGUUCCCAUGGAGCCUGGGGUGGGUGGACUUCAAGCAGCCCAUGUCCCCGGCAGCACUCACUCUCAGUCCUAGAAGUCUGGGUCGGGCUUUCCGGAGCCACGCGACUCAAGGACGGAACUACGGAGCAAGAAUUCCAGCCAUCCUACCGUCAUCCCAGAGAUUUGCACUGACUCCCCCAGCUCCGAGCCACCCUGGAGCUCCUGCUGCAACCCAGCCUUGUGGACCAGCUGCCAACUCACCACUCUC